rnacentral:lncRNA from 1 species
UUGUGUUGCCAUAUUAAAUAAUUAAUAAUUACAAUUUAACAUUAGAGGUGGUAAUUUUAGCUGAUUCAUAUAGGUAUUCUAUCCGAUCUAAUCCUUGUGGAAUAAGUUUAUUCUAUCUAAUUUGACCUUUAUGGAACAAAUUUUACUUGACCCAUUUAAACUCAAGGGUGGAGAUGAAUUUUAAUUCUGAUACUCGAAGUGAAUGCAAGUAAUAAUAAGGCCUACCCCAAACUUGACCUGAUAUAAUAAUCCUAAGUGC